ensembl:lncRNA novel transcript
GGGCGCGAGCGGCAGCUGUCAGGCCACCGAGGUCCAAGCCGCACUUGCUGCCCCAUUGAGGACGAGGAGGCAGCAGGAGCAGUGACGGUGACUCUAAGGAGCCGGAUUCCCGGCACGCAGAGCUGACCUGCCUGGCACCCGCGGCCCUCUCCUGUUUCCUUCCCAUUGUGUUGGAUAAGCCAGCUGCAGAAUAUAUCCUGAGGUACCUGCUUUAUGGAAUUAUUCACACUAUUCACCAACAGGAAGAAUAAAGUCAAUCAAUUCAAGGAGUCUCAGAACAGGAGCACAUAGACACCAAACUUUGUGGGACAACAAAUAUAAUGAAGAGUAUGUUUGCGUCUUUCAAACAAAGCCACGUGAAGUCAAGGCCCUUAACACCCACCCCUCCCACAUACUGAGGGGAGAAUUCAGAUGCCCACUGGAGUCAGCCGAUCAGACUGCCUUUUGCACACUCCUUGCCUCCACUCCAGUUUACCGUGGAAGACCUGUCUGCUAUGGCUGAAUCUGAGAGAGAUCCUUGAGUAACGAAUUAAGGAAUGAACAAAUGUUGCUCUGGACAAAGCUGCAGCUUCCACGUCCUGCAUAACUGCACUCAGUACUGACCCUGAAGAUAGGAAAAGCAAUACAACUGGUGCUAGAAAUGUUAUGAGAAUGACUUGGAUGAGCUGAAAAAUGAAUGAUCUCCUUGAACAAGGCUUGCCUGGAAUUUCGCUUUGCUGCAGAGACAUCUGGAAAUGUGGAUUGAGGGUGGAAAUAAAAUGAAGAUGUCCUGGAAACUUCCAACUGAUCCUUGGGUCUAAUUGGUGUGGGAUAUGCAGCACAAGCGUGAGAAGCCAUGAAGUGAGAGCCCCAACAGGGGCUCAGAGUCAAAAACCUAGAUAUUAGCUCCCAAAGUCCUUCCGAAUCUGCUCCAGCUCCCCACAUCACUCCUAGCUGCCCUUGGCCCUCUCCACCUUUCCCCUCCCGAUUCCUUGGAAAAUAAGCGUUCCUCCCCCACCCCCACCCCCAGCUCUACGAACACAAUAGAGAAGAAAAAAUUGUCUUUUAAGAUAAUUUCCUCCAAAUCCUUCUCAGUUUCAACUGCAUGAAGACAAAAUGCAGGCUGUCAAUUCGAUGAACAGAUUGUGAUUAGGCUGGGGGAGGCUAGAAUUGUAAUAAUUUUAUAGCUACAAUAAUAAAGACCCAGAAGUGGGCAAGACCUAUGCAAGUUCACAGACUAGGUUAAAGAAAAGGCCAGCGUUGAAGAUGUGGGUGAUUUCCAAGAAGGAUAAUCGACUUCGAGACAAGUCAAGAACACGAUCUGGGAAUCAGCUCCCUUGACCUAGAGGCCGGUGUCCUCCCAUGGAUGGCCUUUAAAACAACUGGCUGGCAUAUAAUAAGAGGGGCACCUGUUGGAAGACUCCGGAGAAGGAAGACGCAUCUGAAAUUUGGUGCCAUGACUCGAAUCGGGGGACCUCCCUUGGAAGAUCAAUCCCCUGUCCUCCUGCUCUUUACUCCAUGAGAAAGAUCCACCUACAACCUCUGGUCCUCAGGCCAACCAGCCCAAGGAACAUCUCACCAAUUUUAUAUCCGGUACCCACUGGAAAUUGGACUCUCCAACUCACCCGGCAGCCACUCCCAGAGCCACUGGAACUCUGGCCCAACGCUCUCUGACUGACUCCUUCCCAGAUCAUCUCAGCUUAGCGGCUGAAGAUUGAUGCUGCCCAAUCACCUCAGAAGCUUCCUGGACCAUCACAUACGCUUUGGGUAACUCUUACAGUGGAGGGUAAGUCCGUCCCCUUCUUAAUCAAUACGGAGGCUACCCACUCCACAUUACCUUCUUUUCAAGGGCCUAUUUCCCUUGCCCCAUGACUGUUAUGGUUAUUGAUGGCCAGGCUUCUAAACCUCUUAAAACUCCCCAACUCUGGUGCCAACUUGGACAAUAUUCUUUUAUGCACUCCUUUUUAGUUAUCCCCACCUGCCCAGUUCCCUUAUUAGGCUGAGACAUUUUAACUAAAUUAUCUGCUUCCCUGACUAUUCCUAGGCUACAGCCACACCUCAUUGCCACCCUUUUCCCCAGUUCAAACACUCCUUCACAUCCUCCCCUUGUAUCUCACCACCUUAAUCCACAAGUAUAGGACACCUCUACUCCAUCCAUGGUGACCGAUCAUGCACCCCUUAUCAUUCCAUUAAAACCUAAUCACCCUUACCCAACUCAACGCCAAUAUCCCAUCCCACAGCAGCCUUUAAAAGGAGUAAAGCCUGUUAUCACUUGCCUGUUACAGUGUGGCCUUUUAAAGCCUAUAAACUCUCCUUACAAUCCCCCCAUUUUACCUAUCCAAAAACCAGACAAGUCUUACAGGUUAGUUCAGGAUCUGCACCUUAUCAACCAAAUUAUCUUGCCUAUCCACCCCAUGGUGCCAAACCCAUAUACUCUCCUAUCCUCAAUACCUCCCUCCACAACCCAUUAUUCUGUUCUGUGUGGCAAACAUGCUUUCUUUACUAUUCCUUUGCACCCUUCAUCCCAGCCUGUCUUCGCUUUCACUUGGACUGACCCUGACACCAUCAGGCUCGGCAAAUUACCUGGGCUGUACUGCCACAAGGCUUCACAGACAGCCCCCAUUACUUCAGUCAAGCCCGAAUUUCUUAAUCUGUUACCUAUCUCGGCAUAAUUCUUCAUAAAAACACAGGUGCUCUCCCUGCCGAUCCUGUCCAACUGAUCUCUCAAACCCCAACCCCUUCUACAAAACAACAACUCCUUUCCUUCCUGGGCAUGGUUGGAUACUUUUACCUUUGGAUACCUGGUUUUGCCAUCCUAACAAAACCAUUAUGUAAACUCACAAAAGAAAACCUAGCUGAUGCCAUAGAUCCUAAAUCCUUUUCCCACUCCUCUUUCCGUUCCUUGAAGACAGCAUUAGAGAAUGCUUCCACACUAGCUCUCCCUGACUCAUCCCAACCCUUUUUCAUUACACACAGCCGAAGUGCAGGGCUGUGUGGUCGAAAUUCUUACACAAGGACUGGGACCGCUCCCUGUGGCCUUUUUAUCCAAACAACUUGAGCUUACUGUUUUAGCCUAGCCCUCAUGUCUGCAUGCGGCAGCUGCCUCUGUUUUAAUACUUUUAGAGGCCCUCAAAAUCACAAACUGUGCUCAACUCACUCUCUACAGUUCUCAUAACUUCCAAAAUCUAUUUUCUUCCUCACACCAGAUGCACAUACUUUCUGCCCCCCUCCACUACCUCUCAGCAAGCCGAACUCAUUGCCUUAACUAGAGCCCUCACUCUUGCAAAAGGACUACGCAUCAAUAUUUAUACUGACUCUAAAUAUGCCUUCUAUAUUCUGCACCACCAUGCUGUUAUAAGGGCAGAAAGAGGUUUCCUCACUACGCAAGGGUCCUCCAUCAUUAAUUCCUCUUUAAUAAAAACUCUUCUCAAGGCUGCUUUACUUCCAAAGGAAGCUGGAGUCAUUCACUGCAAGGGCCGUCAAAAGGCGUCAGAUCCCAUCGCUCAGGGCAACGCUUAUGCUGAUAAGGUAGCUAAAAAAGCAGCUAGAGUACAACUUCGUCCCUCAAGGCCAGUUUUUCUCCUUCUCAUCGGUCACUCCUACCUACUCCCCUACUGAAACUUCCACCUAUCAAUCUCUUCCCACACAAGGCAAAUGGUUCUUGAACCAAGGAAAAUAUCUCCUUCCUGGUGGGUGCCUGUAAUCCCAGCUACUCAGGAGGCUGAGACAGGAGAAUCCCUUGAACUCAGUAGGCUGAGGUUGCAGUGAGCCAAGAUCAUGCCACUGCACUCCAGCAUGGGUUACAGG